rnacentral:rRNA from 1 species
AACGAACGUUGGCGGCGUGGAUCAGGCAUGCAAGUCGAACGAAUCCAGUGGGGGUAACUCUGCUGGGGAAGUGGCGAAAGGGGCAGUAAGGCAUGGGUAACUUGCCCCGGGAUCAGGAAUAGCCAUCCUAACGGAUGGGUAAUACCUGAUGCCCUGACGUGAUGGCAUCAUCGUGUCAGGAAAGAUUUAUCGUCCCGGGAGAGGCUCAUGUAGUAUUAGCUGGAUGGUGAGGUAACGGCUCACCAUGGCCAAGAUGCUUAGCAGGUGUGAGAGCACGACCUGCGCCACUGGCACUGGGACACUGGCCAGACUCCUACGGGAGGCUGCAGUCGAGGAUCUUCGGCAAUGGGCGAAAGCCUGACCGAGCGACGCCGCGUGUGCGAUGAAGGCCUUCGGGUUGUAAAGCACUGUCGAGGGGGAGAAAAGGGCAACCUUGAUCGACCCCUGGAGGAAGCACGGGCUAAGUUCGUGCCAGCAGCCGCC